rnacentral:rRNA from 1 species
UACGUAGGGAGCAAGCGUUGUUCGGAUUUACUGGGCGUAAAGGGCGCGUAGGCGGCGCGGUAAGUCACUUGUGAAAUCUCUGAGCUUAACUCAGAACGGCCAAGUGAUACUGCAGUGCUAGAGUGCAGAAAGGGCAAUCGGAAUUCCUGGUGUAGCGGUGAAAUGCGCAGAUAUCAGGAGGAACACCGGUGGCGAAGGCGGGUCUCUGGGCAACAACUGACGCUGAGGAGCGAAAGCGUGGGGAGCAAACAGG